rnacentral:misc_RNA from 1 species
GAGUCGUAACAAGGUCUCCGUAGGUAACCUGCGGAGGGUCCAAUUACUGAGGUGGAGGGGGCCCCUCGUGGUCCGACCUCCAACCCCAUUGUUUGUCCCGACUCUGUUGCCUCGGGGGGGCGACCCCAGCGCUUCGGCGCCGGGGGGGGUCCCCGCUGGUCCACACAACUCUGCAUCUUUGCGUCUGAGUAAACAUUAAAUGAAACAAAA